GCUCUUUGAACUCAAAAUGUCUAUAGUGACGAGAUUUGCCUCAAAAUCCCUAAUCAUUUAACAACUCUCUUCCUUAUAAGUUAAACUGAAAAAUCUCAAUAUUAGCCGAUCAACUCGUCAAAUUGUGUGCUUCAAAUCAACCGAUUUUUUAAUCCCUAAUAACUCUUUCUCCCCUUAAAAGGCAUAAUGGGUGUAUAUGGUAAUAAACUAAAAAGGUAAGUUUUCUUCUUAGUGGUGGAUUAAACCUAAAGGUGGGUCAAUC
rnacentral:lncRNA from 1 species